rnacentral:rRNA from 1 species
ACGAAGGUACUGGGGUUAAUAGCCUUCAGUAUUGACGGUACCUAAAAAGGAAGUCUCGGCUAACUCCGUGCCAGCAGCCGCGGUAAGACGGGGGAGGCAAGCGUUGUCCGGAAUUAUUGGGCGUAAAGAGCUCGUAGGUGGUAUAUUAAGUCAUUUGUGAAAACUUCAGGCUUAACUUAAAGAAUGCAAGUGAUACUGGUAUACUUGAGCACAGUAGAGGAAAAUGGAAUUCCUGGUGUAGCGGUGAAAUGCGCAGAUAUCAGGAAGAACACCAGUGGCGAAGGCGGUUUUCUGGGCUGUUGCUGACACUGAGGAGCGAAAGCUAGGGGAGCGAACAGGAUUAGAUACCCUGGUAGUCUUAGCUGUAAACGAUGGACACUAGGUGUGGGGAGUUAUCGACGCUCUCCGUGCCGAAGCAAACGCAUUAAGUGUCCCGCCUGGGGAGUACGGUCGCAAGACUAAAACUCAAAAGAAUUGACGGGGGCCCGCACAAGCGGCGGAGCAUGUGGCUUAAUUCGACGCAACGCGAAGAACCUUACCAAGGUUUGACACCAUAUUGAAGUUAGUAGAAAUAUUAACGCCCGCAAGGGCAGUAUGACAGGUGGUGCAUGGUUGUCGUCAGCUCGUGUCGUGAGAUGUUGGGUUAAGUCCCGCAACGAGCGCAACCCUCGUCCCAUGUUGCCAUCAGGUUAAGCUGGGCACUCUUGGGAUACUGCCAGUGUAAAACUGGAGGAAGGUGGGGAUGACGUCAAAUCAUCAUGCCCUUUAUAUCUUGGGCUGCACACGUGCUACAAUGGCCUGUACAAAGAGCUGCGAUACCGCGGGGUGGAGCGAAUCUCAAAAAACAGGUCUAAGUCCAGAUUGAAGGCUGAAACUUGCCUUCAUGAAGUCGGAGUCGCUAGUAAUCGUGGAUCAGCACGCCACGGUGAAUACGUUCCCGGGCCUUGUACACACCGCCC